rnacentral:rRNA from 1 species
GAUGAACGCUGGCGGCGUGCUUAACACAUGCAAGUCGAACGAUGAAGCCCAGCUUGCUGGGUGGAUUCGUGUCGCACGGGUGAGUGACACGCGAGUAAACUGUCCUUAUGUCUUUGAUAUGCCUGCAGAACUGUGUCUAAUAUCGGAUAUAGGCGUCCACCCUGCGGUGGGUGUUGGGGAGAUUUGGCGGUUUUGGAUGGACUCGCGGCCUAUCAGCUUGUUGGUGGGGGAAUGGCUCACCAAGGCGACGACGGGUAGCCGGCCUGAGAGGGUGACCGGCCACACUGGGACUGAGACACGGCCCAGACUCCUACGGGAGGCAGCAGUGGGGAAUAUUGCACAAUGGGCGCAAGCCUGAUGCAGCGACGCCGCGUGAGGGAUGACGGCCUUCGGGUUGUAAACCGCUUUCAGUAGGGAAGAAGCGAAAGUGACGGUACCUGCAGAAGAAGCACCGGCUAACUACGUG